CCCAUCGGUUGCCGGGAGACGGCGCAGCCUCGGCGGGGCGGGAGCCGUCUGUCUGCAGGCCGCGGCCGGUCUCGACCACCAGAGCCAUGGCGCCCAAGAAGAAAGGGAAGAAAGGAAAAACCAAAGGUACCCCGAUUGUUGAUGGGCUUGCUCCGGAGGACAUGAGCAAGGAGCAGAGAGAGAGAGCAAGAGAGAGAGCACAAGCAAGGGGAGCA